GUCCCCAUCGUCUAGUGGCAGGACAACAGCCUUUCGAGCUGACAACGCGGGUUCGAUUCCCGCUGGGGACA
rnacentral:tRNA from 1 species